UACGUAGGUGGCAAGCGUUGUCCGGAUUUACUGGGCGUAAAGAGCGCGCAGGCGGUCGUUCAAGUCGCGUGUGAAAGCCCCCGGCUCAACUGGGGAGGGUCACGCGAUACUGAUCGACUCGAAGGCAGGAGAGGGUAGUGGAAUUCUUGGUGUAGCGGUGAAAUGCGUAGAUAUCAAGAGGAACACCUGAGGUGAAGACGGGUUGCUGGGCUGACACUGACGCUGAAGCGCGAAAGCUAGGGGAGCAAACGGG
rnacentral:rRNA from 1 species